CCCUAAUUAUGUUCUUCAUAACGACAACCUUCUGCUUCUUCCUCGGCGUGGCCGCAAUCCUCCUCCUAAUCGCAACCUUGGCCUUCCACCGCCACACCAAAUCCAGUCCGUCCGAGUACCUGAAGAAACUCCCCGAUUUCAGAUUCCCGAAGAGGACGAAAUCGGAAGAAGGGGAGGUCGAGUGCGUUGUUUGCCUCGACGGGAUUAAGCAAGGGCAAUGGUGCAGGAUGCUUUGCGGUUGUGGACACGUAUUCCAUCGCCGAUGCGUGGAUACUUGGCUGUCCAAGGUUCCCUCUUGUCCGAUUUGUCGCGCUAGGGUUCAACUAGAUUCAGGGAGUUGGGGUCAAGAAAGGAAGCCUUGUCUUAGUUGGAUUGGAAGAACAAGUUGAGGAUUGUUAGUCUUUUUUUUAUUGACAUAAUUUCCCCCCUUUUCUGUCUGUAUAUUACCCCCCUGUAGUUUGAAUCUUUUCAUAAAUGGAAUGGUUGGUUUCUGAAAUUGUGAUCAGAUUUCACGUUUGGAUUAGGUUGUGGAAUCGAAUAGUAUCUGACGAAUUGCAUGAUGAAUUCGUGUUUGUGAAAUUGUAUUAGAGAUGGAUCGUGGAAGAAUCAUGUUGAGUUUGUACGGAUAUGGUUUCUACCAUGAAGCUUUGAGUGGUUGCUUAGGGAAUGAUUGGUUUUGCUUAUUUUUAGCUGCAUAGUGAUUUCAAUGAGGAAAAAGAAGAAGAAGAAGAAGAGAUGUGUAAAGAUGUAGGAUUGGUUGCUCAGAAUUGAAAUGGAGUUCGCUGCGGAAUUGAAAUCGAGUUUGCUUGGAAGCUACGGUAUAAUAUGAGUUAGAAUUGGCGGAGGAGAACUGUCUGCCGAAGGUGAAAAGUGCUAUAGGACAUGAACCUGUGUAGUCUGAGUGUUUAGUGUUGAAGCGUUUGCCAGUUAAUCACUCGAGGACUGAAAGCAAUGUGAUAUGAUGGGAUUGUAAUGAAGUACCCCUAUUGGGAACUUUUCUGGGUUCUUGCUUGAUUUAUCUGUUAGCACACUCAAGAGAACAAGUUAUUUCUGUCAAUUCCAUCUUCUGUAGUAACUUAUUCUGGAUUUUGAACCGCGAUGCGUUUUCGAUCUUUCAACAAAAUGAGUGAACGGAUGUUUGGGUCUAUAGCAGAUGGGAGUCUUGUCUGAUGCUGCACAGCGCAGAAGUUUACCAGUUUUCCAUCUCUGCUGAAGAUGAACUCACAUCCCAAAGUUGGUCAAUAGCAUCAGAAUUGAAGGAUGCAAGUCGCCGCAGGUUGACGCAUGACCAUGAUGAAUUUCAAUGGAUCCAUACAAAAGAACAGGCUCUUGCAAGUGUUUAUUGUUUAAUCGAUAUGUCUGUAAUUUACUAUUUACCUAAAAUACAUAACUGGCACAUAACAUAAUAAUCCGCAGUUGGGAGGCCUUAGGCCUUUGGAGUGCUUGCGGAAUGAAUUUGGCCUUCCUUAUAAAAGUGGCGUGUGGUCUUUUAUUCGGCCGGAUGAGCUUUGGGCCGAAGUCCUGCUAUUUGCAACACCAAUGAAGGCUAUGUUAGCAACGGGCAACUGCUCCCGGAGUUCAUAUACGCAGCCUAGCGGGGAUCACAAAGUGAGCUUUUUUGGCGAUUUUAAUGGUUUACAGUUCCAAUUCUCGCCCGUCUCCAUUAGGACGAGUUGCUCUCCUUAUCGCCUCCUCUUGUUGUCCUCCUAAAUCUGCAGCACCUCAGCUUCAUCUCCCGUAACAUGCUCUCCGUAAGUGAGCAUUUUGUGUUGGUCCUCGACAUUAGCACCCAAGCACGCCUGGAGGUCCUGGAUAUUGCUAGGGGUGCCCGGUGCUUGUCCCUUCAUUGGUCUCGAGUUUACAUGUCUUCUACAGAUGGUAUUGAGUUUUUCUUGCACUCUCUCCACCAGAAACGGAUUACUAAAUCUAGCUCGGAGGUCAUCAGACCAUUGGUGCGUGAUCAGAUACGGUGGCAGGCGGAAGUGUGCUUCGCACUGUCGGUCAAGGUGGCCCAUAAUCCCACAGAUAUAGUAAAAAUCCUGAAACUUCUUGAUGAUUUUAAACAUACCAUAACAUUUGACACCUAAUUUGUUAAUCUUAAUGCCAUAAUAUCAAUUCCAACCAGAAGUUUCGACGGAAAUUGGUUCUAUUACGCUUAAUUCUGUAAAUUCAACUCUUGGACCUUCAUGGUCCAAUUUUAUGUCGUUUCUGGUGUUUUUAAUGAAUUUUCAGGUUGCGCAAUUAUAAAUGGACGAAUUACAAAUCCAACGAUACAAACCGGAGCUAAACAACAAAAAUUAAAGAUGAUCCUCCUCUUGGGACAAGUUCGCGGACAUCACUUGGAAGUUGAUCCUCCUCUUCGUGAGGAAGGAGCGACGACGCAGAGUUCAUACUCCCAUGGUGGGGGAGUCGAUACCAGUGUUGGGGCGCAGCGGACGAGAAUAGAGUAAAUAUAUUGCACUAAUAAACCACACACCGUAAAUAUUUCCUAGGUAAGUUGGAAGUGGCGGUAGUCCGCCACACUUAAAAUCACUAUGGAUGGGUGAUUACCACCGCAAUACCAUAAUGACGAUAAUUAAGCCAACCUCCUUAGACCAAUUUACUGUGGUAAUAUUAAUAAUGCAAUAUACAACGAAUAUUCUCGAAAUUGCCAAGCACAAAACAGUAAGUAAAUAACACCGGGAUUUACGUAGUUCCCCUCCAAUGCGGAGAGUACAUCUACGGCAGCAGCGACAGCUACGAGCACUUCUUCACUAUAACAAGGUAGCUACAAGGUGAUCCGAGCCGAUCCAAAAAUAGUGUCUCUCAAGUGUUUCCCAACCCCGAAACAACUACUCACUAUUUUAUCGCUCACAAGAAAGUAUUCCUACCACGGUAAAACAUUUACCGGGACUUUCUACCGCUCACCUAUCUACCCAAUUGAGAUAACUUAUCUCAAUUAUUAAACAAGUGAAAAUUGCUACACUACAACACUUAGAGAAGUGAGAAAGGAAGAAGAGAGGGAUGAUUGAAAUGGGAUGCACUAGCUUCCCUUUUAUACUAGAAAUGUAGGGAGACCAAUUGAAAGCAAUUGGUUGUGGCAUCCAAUUAGUUGAAUCCCCAACUAAUUUCCAUGUGCACUAAAUUGGAGGUGGGGGUUAAUAUUGGUGGGAAUUCAAUUAGUUGGUUAGAGAUCCAACUAAUUUUGUGGUGCUUUAAUAUUGGUGGUACAUAUUUUUGUUGCACAUCAAUUAUCCGGGACCAACAAUUCUCCCCCUCCCGGCUAAUUAAGACUCUCGGUCAUCCCUGCUGCUGAUCGACAAUACUCAAACUUCUCUCUUAGAAGACUCUUCGUGCACAUGUCAGAUCCAUUCUCAUCAGUAUGGAUCUUCUCGAGUUGUAGUUGCUUCGACUCCACCACAUCUCGAAUCCAAUGAUAUCGAACAUCGAUAUGUUUGGACCUAGAAUGAAACGUCGAAUUCUUCGCAAGGUGUAUGGCGCUCUGACUGUCACAGAACAACUGCGGUCGUUCCUGUUGGAACCCAAGUUCACUCAAGAACUUCUUCAUCCACAACAGCUCCUUGCUAGCUUCCGUUGCGGCAAUGAACUCAGCUUCAAUAGUGGAAAAAGCUACACACUUUUGUAGCCUUGACUGCCAAGAAACAGCUCCCCCUGAAAAUGUAAUCAGGUAUCCAGAAGUGGACCUCCGUGUAUCAACGUCACCUGCCAUGUCCGCAUCUGUGUAGCCGACAAGUACAGGAUUAGAAUCUCCAAAACAAAGGCAAAAUUUGGAGGUACCUCGAAGGUAUCUCAGAAUCCACUUCACAGCUGCCCAGUGUUCCUUUCCAGGAUUUGAAAGAAACCGACUGACAACUCCGACUGCGUGAGCAAUAUCCGGCCGUGUACACACCAUAGCGUACAUCAAACUUCCCCACCGCUGAAGCAUAUGGAAUACUUUUCAUCUCCGUCUUCUCUGCAUCAGUAGACGGGCACUGUUUGGUGCUAAGUUGAAAGUGAUUAGCAAGAGGACAACUAACCGCUUUUGCACCAUUCAUGCUGAAUUGUUGGAGUACUUUCUCAAUGUACUUCUCCUGCGACAACCAGAUCUUCUUGGCAACUCUAUCUCGUGCAAUCUUCAAGCCAAGAAUCUGCUUCGCGGGCCCCAAGUCUUUCAUAGCAAAAGACUUGCUCAACUCCUUCUUCAAGUUGUUGAUUCUGGAAACAUUCCGGCCAACAAUUAGCAUGUCGUCAACAUAGAGCAACAAGAUGAUGAAAUCAUCAUCACCAAACAUCUUCAUGAACACGCAAUGGUCUGAAGUAGUCUUCUUGUACCCUUGCUCCCCCAUAACAGACUCGAACUUCUUGUACCAUUGUCGUGGUGCCUGCUUCAAGCCGUACAAACUUUUGAUAAGUUUGCACACGAAAUCCUCUUUUCCCUUCUUCUUGAAGCCUUCCGGUUGCUCCAUAUAGAUAUCUUCCUCCAAAUCGCCAUGGAGGAAGGCAGUCUUCACGUCCAUCUGCUCAACUUCCAGGUUGAAACUUGACGCUAACCCCAGCACUGUACGAAUGGAUGUCAAUUUCACCACCGGUGAAAAUAUCUCAUCAAAGUCGAUGCCCUUCCUUUGACUGAAGCCUUUGACAACGAGCCGAGCUUUGAACCGUGGUUUACUAUUGUGUUCUUCAUGCUUGAUUUUGAACACCCACUUGUUCUUCAAAGCUCUCUUCCCCUUCGGCAACUUCACAAGCUCAAAUGUGUUGUUGUCGUAAAGGGACUUCAUCUCGUCCUCCAUUGCUUCCAUCCAUUUAUGCUUGUGUCCAUCCUUCAUAGCUUCCUCGAAGCUAUCUGGUUCUCCCCCAUCAGUGAAUAAGACAUAUUCAUUUGAUGAAUAUCUGGUAGAGGGUUGCACGACUCUUCCAGAUCUCGUUCGGGGCGGAGAACCUUCGGCGGCUGGCGGUUGAUAAUGAGAACCAUCAUCAUCAUUAGGAUCAUCAGGCUGAACAUCAAGGGGGGCUUCAGGUUCAGCUACCUCUGGAUGAAUUUCUCCAACAGCAGGUGUUGGAGGCUCUAACUUCUCGGGCAUUGUGCUAGCAUCAGUGUUAGGAGCAUCUCUCCCAACCUUCUGAAUGUCUUCGAUGGUCUCAUUCUCCAUGAACACAGCAUCACGACUCCUAAUGAGCUUCUUCUGGAUAGGGUCAAAGAAUCUGUAGCCAAAUUCAUCUUGACCAUAUCCAAUAAAAACACACGGUCGUGUCUUGGAAUCCAGUUUCGACCUCUCAUCCCUCGGAAUGUGAACAAAGGCCUUGCAACCAAACACUCGAAGAUGCUUGUACGAGACAUCUCUUCCCGACCAAAUCUUCUCGGGGGCUUCAAAAUCUAAUGGAACGCUAGGUGAAAGGUUCCAAACAUGCACUACGGCAAGUAGUGCUUCUCCCCAAAAAGAGUGCGGUAACUUCGAGUGGGAGAGUAAGCACCUGACUCUCUCCAUCAAGGUUUUGUUCAUCCGCUCCGCCACGCCAUUCAGUUGCGGAGUCUUAGGAGGUGUAAACUGAUGUCGGAUUCCCUUCUCUUUACAGUAGGCAUCGAAUGGCCCAAUGUACUCUCCACCAUUGUCUGUACGUAGACACUUCAGCUUCUGGCCAGUCUCCCUCUCCACCAAUGCAACAAAACGUUUGAAAACGUUUAGCACCUGAUCUUUCGUCUUCAGAACAUAUACCCAUGUCUUCCGCGAGUGAUCAUCAAUAAACGUAGCAAAGUAACGUGCGCCACCAAGGGAUUUGGAAUCCGCUUCACAAAGAUCUGAGUGAACCAAAUCUAGCACGUUCUUCGCUCUAGAAGGUGGAGAACUUCUGAAAGCAACUCGAUUUUGCUUUCCUGCCAAACAGUCGACGCAUCUCUCCAGGUGGACAUGAUCCAGUCCAGGUAUAACCUUCUUCUUUGCCAGCUUUACCAUGGACUUCUCGCUCAUGUGGCCAAGGCGUUUGUGCCACAACGCGACGUCGUCGACAAUCUCCGUUGAGUUUGCAACUUCUAGGGAGAUCUUGGCUUCUGUCACGUACAGUUUAGACUGCUUCUCGCCUCUUGCCACCACCAAUGCGCCUUUGGUGAGUUUCCAUUGACCGUUUUUGAAGGUAUGACAAUAACCUUCCCCGUCCAGCUUGUCCACAGAAAUCAGAUUUAGACGCAUGUCCGGGACAUGUCUAACAUCUCGCAGCACCAACUUCGCACCUUCCAUUGUCUCCAGGAAGACAUCUCCUUUUCCAACGACCUUGGAGAGGUUUCCAUUUCCCAUCCUUACCACACCGUAGUUGCCCGGUGAGUAAGAUGAGAAAAAUUCACGCCUUGACGAUACAUGGAUGGUGGCACCGCUGUCAACCACCCAAGUGGUCUCCUGGGUUGUCAGGUUGACAAAAUCUUCAUCAUAGACAAGCAUGAGCUCCUCAACAACAUUAGCAUUGUCACUGUCAGCACCUCUGUUUUGCCUAAGUUGUGGGCAAAACCUCCGGAUGUGUCCCUUCUGUUUGCAGUUGUGACAAGUGAUGUUUGCAUACUUGUUGGACUUCCCUCGGCUCUUCCCUCGCUUCUUUGAGCCUCUCGACUCACUCCUUCCUCUCCCAUCCACAGCUAGAACGUCUGACUGUGAUGAUGAGGAAGAGACACCUUGAGAUCUUCUUCUCAUCUCCUCGUUGAGAAUUCCGCUCUUGACAUCCUCCAUGGUGACAACACCAUCUAUGGCAGAGCUCGUGAUUGCAAUCUUCAAGGUUUCCCAUGAUUCUGCCAAAAUCAAUCCAAAUCUUUCAUCAACAGGAGAUCCUUCAUCUUGCUUCUCCAAAUAUGAAAGUUUGUACCGUUCAAACUAACCAUCUUGCUUGGCGUUGCCUCCAUAAUGAACCGUGCUCUGAUACCACUGUUGGGGCGCAGCGGACGAGAAUAGAGUAAAUAUAUUGCACUAAUAAACCACACACCGUAAAUAUUUCCCAGGCAAGUUGGAAGUGGCGGUAGUCCGCCACACUUAAAAUCACUAUGGAUGGGUGAUUACCACCGCAAUACCAUAAUGACGAUAAUUAAGCCAACCUCCUUAGACCAAUUUAUUGUGGUAAUAUUAAUAAUGCAAUAUACAACGAAUAUUCUCGAAAUUGCCAAGCACAAAACAGUAAGUAAAUAACACCGGGAUUUACGUAGUUCCCCUCCAAUGCGGAGAGUACAUCUACGGCAGCAGCGGCAGCUACGAGCACUUCUUCACUAUAACAAGGUAGCUACAAGGUGAUCUGAGCCGAUCCAAAAUAGUGUCUCUCAACUGUUUCCCAACCCCGAAACAACUACUCACUAUUUUAUCGCUCACAAGAAAGUAUUCCUACCACGGUAAAACAAUUAUCGGGGCUUUCUACCGCUCACCUAUCUACCCAAUUGAGAUAACUUAUCUCAAUUAUUAAACAAGUGAAAAUUGCUACACUACAAAAAAAAUUGCUACACUACAACACUUAGAGAAGUGAGAAAGGAAGAAGAGAGGGAUGAUUGAAAUGGGAUGCACUAGCUUCCCUUUUAUACUAGAAAUGUGGGGAGACCAAUUGAAAGCAAUUGGUUGUGGCAUCCAAUUAGGUGAAUCCCCAACUAAUUUCCAUGUGCACUAAAUUGGAGGUGGGGUUUAAUAUUGGUGGAAAUUCAAUUAGUUGGUUAGAGAUCCAACUAAUUUUGUGGUGCUUUAAUAUUGGUGAUACAUGUUUUAAUUGCACAUAAAUUAUUUGGGACCAACAACCAGUUGGGCAAGAUGCUUCUCCUCUUCCUCAUUGUCGUCGAGGGAGAGAUCCUUGACUUGUUGCUCCACGGUGGUUGCGGAAACAGUUGAUGGAGUUGCCAUCGGGUAGGAGUUCAUUACCAGCGGUUGGUGAUUUGUAGGCAGCAGCGGUCUUCGAGGGAGUAGACGGUUAUGUUUGGUUCUCAAACAGAGAAAACAACUAAACAACAACUUCUUAACUACUGGCUAGGGGGAAAGCGAGGUAUGGAGGUCAUACGCGUACGCAGAAAUUGGGGCUUUUGGAUCUACGGUUGCGGCAACAAGAACUCUAGUUUGUUAUCGCUAGGGUUGCAGCGGCGGUGGUAGCUUACAUCUCGAUGUUUCAGCUAGUUUCUCGUAAUUUUGAAAUGAUAAUUAAUUAUUUCAAAGGGUUAUUAAUAUAUUGUAAUUCUUUGUAAAAAUAAUUCUAUCUAAUUAUUUAUAAUGAUAAAAACUAAUAGAAAUAUAGAAACCCUAGUAAACUCUCGAAAUCCAAUAAGCAAAAUCUCGUUAAAAAUACGAAUAAUUAUGGCUGAUUUUGCAACUGUUGGUUGCUACAACUUGAAGCCUUGAAGAGUCUAGGAUUUGAUGGUAUUAUAGAGGUGAAGAUCAAACAAUUUAGCAACAAUUUCAUGAAGUAGAUUCUGGAUAUCUCCAUUUAACUUUUAGCACUUGGUGUUAGUACAAGCUUUGUUCUUGACAAUUUUUCAUAGUUUUAAUGAGCAUCACAAGACUACGUGAACCACAUCCUUGGUGUAUUUUGACGUUCUUUGUAUUUUUAGCUGGUGAAUGAUACAAUGGAGUAGAUUGAAAUGUGCCGCAUUUUAUGUAUGAGUUGAAGGGUAGAACAUGUACUAUUAGACAAUAGCAAAUCAAGCAUGGUUAGAGACCUUGGGUAAAUUUUUGUGUUUUGAGUUAAUUUUUAGCACAUUGGGCAAAAAAUUCAACAAAUUUUUAAUUUUGACAAUUUCAAAUUAAAUUUCAUCCAUCUGGAACCAUAAUACCAUAAAGCAGUUGUUCGAAUUGACUCACCGUUAUUUUCGUCACUACUAGCAGCGACCAUAGUACUAGUAGAGGUUCACACAACGAAUUUUUAAACAAGCAACCACCGGAGUGUACUAGUACACCCCAUUAAUAUGAAGCUGGAAAUGGAACCAAGUGUACUAGUUCACGGUAUGUUUUUGAAAUAUGGAAAACAAAACGUACUUAACACCUGAACAACAAAAUUUAAAGGAGCUAAAAUUACUAGGAAUGAGAAUUCUGUUUGAAAUAUUACCUGGACUGUCAAACUCUGACAUCGGAAGAGUUCAAAAUGUUCCACUUGGAGCCCACAGUACCCUAUUUUAAGUAAUCACUGAUUAGCUGAACUAUAACCCAGUCUACCAGAUUUAGUAACUUAUCUCAUGCAAGUUAAUUUUAGCAACUUUGUAGUUUUUAACUGUUUUACCUGUCCGGCUGUCCCCUUGCUUCAUAGUAACGAACAAACAACCUCCAAGGAGAAAUGUGAAACUAAUUAUUAACAAACAAAACAAAACAAAUCAAAAACACCACACUAAUGGCCGCCGACGGAACCAAAUCUCUCUCCGUCGACCUCGACCACCGCCACAUUACUCACCCAAUCAAAAUCCUCAGCGAGUCUUUACAAAUUAUCCUGAAAAGCAAACGCCUCUUUCUCUCCAUCACGCUGUUCCUCUCUUGCCCUCUGUCCUUCCUCCUCUUCUCCCUCAAUUUCUCC
rnacentral:lncRNA from 1 species